rnacentral:rRNA from 1 species
GACGAACGCUGGCGGCGUGCUUAACACAUGCAAGUCGAACGGAAAGGCCUGCUUUCCCUUGUGGAUUGCGGGUACUCGAGUGGCGAACGGGUGAGUAACACGUGAGUGAUCUGCCCCCAACUUGGGUAUAAGCCUGGGAAACUGGGUCUAAUUCCCGAUAGGACUGCAGGGUGGUGCCUGUGGUGGAAAACGAUUUUCUAGUGGUUGGGGCUGAGCUCGCGGCCUAUCAGCUUGUUGGUGGGGUAAUGGCCUACCAAGGCGGCGACGGGUAGCCGGCCUGAGAGGGUGGACGGCCACAUUGGGACUGAGAUACGGCCCAGACUCCUACGGGAGGCAGCAGUGGGGAAUAUUGCACAAUGGGCGGAAGCCUGAUGCAGCGACGCCGCGUGGGGGAUGACGGCCUUCGGGUUGUAAACUCCUUUCGACCGCGAGGAAGCCACCUGGUUGGAAGGGUGGUGACGGUAGUGGUAGAAGAAGCACCGGCUAACUACGUG